rnacentral:lncRNA from 1 species
ACAGACUGGCAGGCCGGCCAGACAGACGGACAGGCUGACCCCGGCCCGGGGGAGCAGGCGCAGCGGCUGCGCAGGUAAUGUGAAAUGGUGAGACAUGAUUCCUCAGAGCUCUGUUAUCCCACAAGUCUGUGUCUACCAGCCGCACAAGGAAAAUCUUUCACGAGGUUCCUCUCAGUUCCUGUGGCAGACAGACUCUUGGGGAAGUUGCUCACCAUCCCACCUGCUGAUGUCAUGGCUUUCUGUAAUUCCUUCUGUUUGAGUGGUGGGGGUGGGUGGCUGCAGUGGUGCUGUGACUUGCUUCUCACUGGUAGAAUGCAGCAAAGGUGAUGAGAUAGGUGGGAUAGAUGGUGCCAUGUCAGCGAUGACAUGGGUAUAUUAUGUGACAGUGUGGGGCCGGGCACGGUGGCUCAAGCAUGUAAUCCCAGCACUUUGGGGGGCCAAGGUGGGCGGAUCAGGAGGUCAGGAGAUUGAGAACAACCUAGCUAACACGGUGAAACCCUGUCUCUACUAAAAAAUACAAAAAAUUAGCCAGGCGUGAUGGCAGGCGCCUGUAGUCCCAGCUACUUGGGAGGCUGAGGCAGGAGAAUGGCGAGAACCCGGGAGGUGGAGCUUGCAGUGAGCCGAGAUGGCGCCACUGCACUCCAGCCUGGGGGACAGAGUGAGACUCCGUCUCGAAAAAAAAAAAAAAAGAAAGCGUGGCACUUGUCUUGCUGAGUCUCCCUAUGCCUCUCCAUUGGUUUUGAAGAAGCAAGCUGGCAUGUGGCAGCCUGCGGAUGUUGGGAGGCCACACGGCAAGGAACUGCAGCAUCUCUAGGAGCUGAGGGUGGACCCUGACUGGCAGCCAACAACAAACUGAAGCUCUCAAGCCUACCACCAUAAGGAAUUGAAUUCUGCCAAUAACCUGAGUGAGCAUGGAAGCAGAUCCUUUCCCAGCCAAGCCUCAGACAAGGUUCUGGCCCUGGGAAACACCUUGACUGAAGUCUUGUGAGACCAUAGGAAGAAGACUUAGCUGAGCCAGUCUCAGAUCCUGACCCAUAGAACCUGUUAGAUACUUAGCAUGUGUUGUUUUCAGCCUCUGUGUUUGUGGUAAUUUAUUAUACAAUACAUACUGUUCCCCACCCUAAUACUUGAAACUCCUGACCCCAAUCCCUGUGCUCUAUUUACAACUCCAUGCCACCACUGGGGGAAUAAUCCCAUAAUAGUAUCUGUGUGUGGGUAGCUUUACCUGUCUGUAUCUACACAUAGAUCUUGUGACAGUAAAUUUUAUCUAUCAACUUGACUGGGCUAAAGGAUGCCCUUAUAGUUAAUUAAACAUUAUUUCUGGAUAUGUCUGACUAGCAGAGAUUAGCAUUUGGAUUGGUGGACUGAGUGAAGCAGAUGGCCCUCAAUGUCAUCCAAUCCUUGAGGGCCUGAAUAGAGCAAAAAAGGCAGAUGAAGGUUGAUUUUGCUCUUUGCCUGACUGCUUGAGUUGGGACAUUGAUCUCUUGCGCUUGGUGCUUUGGUUCUUAGGCCUUCAGACCUGAGCUGAAAUCUACACCACCGGCUCUCUGACUAUCAGGCUUUGGACUAUACUUUGGGCUUUCCUGGGUCUCUUACCUGGCAGACAGCAGAUUUUGGAACUUUUCAGCCUCCAUAAUCAUGUGAGCAAAAACCUUAUAACAAAUUAUCUAUCUAUCUAUCUAUCUAUCUAUCUAUCUAUCUAUCUAUCUACCUAUCAUCUAUCUAUCAUCUAUCUAUCUAUCUAUCUAUCUAUCUCUCUAUCUAUCUAUCUAUCUAUCAUCUUCUGUUGGUUCCGUUCUCUGGAGAACCCUGACUAAUACAAUUCAUAUUCAAUCACAGGCCUUUAGGAAGUACUUAAUAUGUGCUGAGCACAUACAGAGAUAGGUAAGUCCAGGGUAUCUCUGAGGUGCUCACAGUCUGAAGAGGAAAACAGCCCCAUGAUGCUUGAGCUGUGGAAGGCUCACCUGCAAGGGUGAGCUAGCUGAGGAAAUCAAUGUGUGUCCUGCACUGUAGAAAUCAGUUUGUUUCCCCAGGGUUAUUGCAUUAGAUUCUUAUAAACCUCUAAGGUAGAUGCCUUUUACAGAGAAGGGAGCUGAGCUCUAGAGAGGUUAAGGAACUUGCCUUAGAGGCAAGUCCACUUAGUGUGGGUCAGAUCCAGGAUUCUAACCCAGUUCUUCUGAUUUCAACUUAGUUGGAUAAUUAAAAUUGACUAUAUAUUUCCUUUGUGUUAACAGAUUCUACUGGAACUUCUAGCAGGCAAACUCACCUAGUGCUCUCUGGAAGGUGAUGUGGGUGGAACUCUGUCUGAUUCCAAUGUCUAGAUGCCAAUGAGCUCUCCACCAUCACCCCAGAGACAGGGGAAAGAAGAUAUAAGUAGACCUGGGCCUGUCUUCAUUCACUCUCAGUGAGCACACGGCAGGCAUUCAAGAAAUAUAGAGGCUGAAUUACAUUUUUUUUGAGGGUCUAAACUUUGCCCUCUGUGACUAGGUGUCAUUUGAUAUGGCAAUGAGAAUACAGAGCAGAGAUACUCAAACUCAGGAACCAAAAGAAUCAUCUGAAGAUAACUGUUAAAAUGCAGAUUCUAGGGUCCUCCCUCCAGAGAUUCCGAUUCAGUGGGGCCCAGGAGACAUUUUCAAUUAUACCCUCAGAUUAUUCUGACACAAGUCAAUCACAGAGCACAUGGCUACUUGUGACAAAAUCACAGCCAAGCUAGGUUGAGAUAGUUUGCCUAGACUCUGAUGUGGGUUGUUCCCAAACAUCCCCACUAAUGUUUAUAAUUCCUUUUCCUUAUGGGAGGGAGAGGCCAGUGAUGUGUUGGCAAAUGUUUAAUAACUGGAUCUCUGGUGGAAAAGAAAAAAAAUCCCUGAUUUGCAGCAUUUGCCAAUACCCAUGGUGUAAAUACUCUCACCGUGGCUGAUAGCAAGCUACCAACAGUAGCUUGUUAAGACUGAAUUGGGAAGAGAUGCACAUCAUUGGCCUUUGCAGGUCAGUAGGAGUCAGCUCCAGCAAUCAUUGGAGGGAGGCUGAAUAGGAGAGGAGAGGACUUACCUCCCUGGGCCUCAGUUUUCCCACUUAUAAAAUGAGAAUUCAUGAAGGUUCUGAUCUGUGACUCGAGACUAAUUUUAGGCCUUAGCUCAGGGGCCAUGUGGCCAAAGGAGGUGGUCAGGUUGCCAGGGCACUCAGGGAUGAGGAGGCAGAGUGGGUCAGCUCUGCUUCCUCCUCCCUUCUUGGAGAGGGUGGAGGAGCCCACAACCGGGUGAACAGAGGAGGGGCCUUGGAGUUGGUCCUGCCUCAAAUCUUGAACCAGAUGCUUACUAAAUUUCUGAGAGCCUGUUUCCCUAUCUAUAAACUGGGAAAAUACUACUGUACCUACCCCAUAGAGUGGUUACAAGAAUUAAAUGAGACAAAGUCUGGCAUGUGGUAAGGUUUCUGUAAACAUUAAUCUUUCUUCUUGUGACCAUUUCUUCCCCUGCCCAUGACAUUUAUUUCCCAAAUUCUGCCAGAGCCUGGUUAGACCAGUGGGCCAAUUUCAUUCAUAAGCAGAGUAGUAGGUCACCCAUCACUGUGCAAUUUGAGGUAAAGGUCCUUCAGGCAAAAAAUUAUAUGUGUAUACACACACACACACACACAGAUAUGUGUACAUAUAUUCUCCCACUGGUCUGUCAUAGACUCUGAACUUCCACUAUUUAAAUCUUUAUCAAUGCUCCAUAGCAAAAGACCACCAGGAACACACCCGUAGUCAAAGUUGGUAUUACUACAUGCUGCACAAAGGACAUAACACACCUUGGAGACCAUGGGGCAGCUCAGAAAGAGAGUACCAGGAGAGUUUUUCUCUGGGCCAGGUGCUGUCAGGGAGCAGUGGCAAUUCAGUGAUUAGGCAUUUUAAUUAUUUUUAUCUAAGAGGGGGACGAAUGGAAUGUGGCUAAGGCUGUCAUUGGUAAAGAAAUCACCACACUCAUGUUGACCAGGAGAGGGGGCUGUUUGGUAGUUUUAACGAUUUUGCAGUGUUCUUUUUUUUUCGGUUGUUGUUGUUGUUGUUGUUUUGUUUUGUUUUGAGAUGGAGUCUCGCUCUGUCGCCCAGGGUGGAGUGCAGUGGCACAAUCUUAGCUCACUGCAAUCUCUGCCUCCUGGGUUCAAGUGAUUCUCCUGCCUCAGCCUCCCAAAUAACUGGGAUUAUAGGCAUCCACCACCACACCCGGCUAAUUUUUGUAUUUUUAGUAGAGAUGGGGUUUCACCAUGUUGGCCAGGCUGUUCUUGAACUCCUGACCUCAAGUGAUCCCCCUACUUCGGCUUCCCAAAGUGCUGGGAUUACAUACGUGAGCCACCACGCCUGGCCAGGUUUUUCUCUGUAUUCAGACAUGGUGUGGAGUGAUCUUUUUUUGGUCUUGCUGCCUGUCUUAUGAUUAUAGAGGCUUUGCCUGGUGUCAGUGUUCUGGGAACAUGCUUAUGUUCAGCAGGAGAAUGCCAGGGCCUUGCUGUGAGUGCCAAGCCAGGACACUGCUGAUGCUGAUGGGGCUGCUGUUUUCUUUCUUGUCUUAUUCAUUUGCAAAACCUUUACUGAUGACUUUUACCACAGUCACACAUAUUAUCUCAUUUAAACCUCACAGCAACUCUGUGAGGGAUUGUUAUCUCCAUUUUAUGGAUGAGGAAGCUGACUCUGAGAGAUGACUUUCCAAAUUCAUCCAACUGGAAGAAAAAGGAAGUCUCUGGGGACUUGAAUCCAGAACUGUCCAGCUCCAAGUCCAGGGCUCACUCUAUUAAGCCACUCCAUGAGGAAUGAGUCCCUAAGGAGGCCACAGAAGGCCCUAAGCCCUCUUUUGUUCUCUGGAAGAGAGUGCCAUUUCUUGGCCCUUCCCAAGGCCUUGACAACUGAAGUUCCCAGAAGAACCACAAAGCAUAAAUUUCCCCAAAAGGGGAAUUUUGUUGAUGGCUUUAGUCUAUUCCCUCCUAAAAGACCAGCUACAACCAAAUGAAGUGAACAUAACCUCAAGGGUGUAUUGUCUUCAUAAUAAAAGAUGAAGCUUAGAACUGGAUCACUUGGCCCUUUCUCUUCUGACAUCCUCCCAGUUGA